GGGUUGUGAGGUUAAGCGACUAAGCGUACACGGUGGAUGCCCUGGCAGUCAGAGGCGAUGAAGGACGUGCUAAUCUGCGAAAAGCGUCGGUAAGGUGAUAUGAACCGUUAUAACCGGCGAUGUCCGAAUGGGGAAACCCAGUGCAAUUCGUUGCACUAUCGUUAACUGAAUACAUAGGUUAACGAGGCGAACCGGGGGAACUGAAACAUCUAAGUACCCCGAGGAAAAGAAAUCAACCGAGAUUCCCCCAGUAGCGGCGAGCGAACGGGGAGCAGCCCAGAGUCUGAAUCAGCUUGUGUGUUAGUGGAACGGUCUGGAAAGUCCGACGGUACAGGGUGAUAGUCCCGUACACCAAAAUGCACAGGCUGUGAACUCGAAGAGUAGGGCGGGACACGUGGUAUCCUGUCUGAAUAUGGGGGGACCAUCCUCCAAGGCUAAAUACUCCUGACUGACCGAUAGUGAACCAGUACCGUGAGGGAAAGGCGAAAAGAACCCCGGCGAGGGGAGUGAAAAAGAACCUGAAACCGUGUACGUACAAGCAGUGGGAGCACCUUCGGGUGUGACUGCGUACCUUUUGUAUAAUGGGUCAGCGACUUAUAUUCUGUAGCAAGGUUAACCGUAUAGGGGAGCCGCAGGGAAACCGAGUCUUAACUGGGCGUUAAGUUGCAGGGUAUAGACCCGAAACCCGGUGAUCUAGCCAUGGGCAGGUUGAAGGUUGGGUAACACUAACUGGAGGACCGAACCGACUAAUGUUGAAAAAUUAGCGGAUGACUUGUGGCUGGGGGUGAAAGGCCAAUCAAACCGGGAGAUAGCUGGUUCUCCCCGAAAGCUAUUUAGGUAGCGCCUCGUGAACUCAUCUUCGGGGGUAGAGCACUGUUUCGGCUAGGGGGUCAUCCCGACUUACCAACCCGAUGCAAACUACGAAUACCGAAGAAUGUUAUCACGGGAGACACACGGCGGGUGCUAACGUCCGUCGUGAAGAGGGAAACAACCCAGACCGCCAGCUAAGGUCCCAAAGUCAUGGUUAAGUGGGAAACGAUGUGGGAAGGCACAGACAGCCAGGAUGUUGGCUUAGAAGCAGCCAUCAUUUAAAGAAAGCGUAAUAGCUCACUGGUCGAGUCGGCCUGCGCGGAAGAUGUAACGGGGCUAAACCAUGCACCGAAGCUGCGGCAGCGACACUAUGUGUUGUUGGGUAGGGGAGCGUUCUGUAAGCCUGCGAAGGUGUGCUGUGAGGCAUGCUGGAGGUAUCAGAAGUGCGAAUGCUGACAUAAGUAACGAUAAAGCGGGUGAAAAGCCCGCUCGCCGGAAGACCAAGGGUUCCUGUCCAACGUUAAUCGGGGCAGGGUGAGUCGACCCCUAAGGCGAGGCCGAAAGGCGUAGUCGAUGGGAAACAGGUUAAUAUUCCUGUACUUGGUGUUACUGCGAAGGGGGGACGGAGAAGGCUAUGUUAGCCGGGCGACGGUUGUCCCGGUUUAAGCAUGUAGGCUGAUUGUCCAGGCAAAUCCGGAUAAUCAAGGCUGAGGUGUGAUGACGAGGCACUACGGUGCUGAAGUAACAAAUGCCCUGCUUCCAGGAAAAGCCUCUAAGCAUCAGGUAACAUUAAAUCGUACCCCAAACCGACACAGGUGGUCAGGUAGAGAAUACCAAGGCGCUUGAGAGAACUCGGGUGAAGGAACUAGGCAAAAUGGUGCCGUAACUUCGGGAGAAGGCACGCUGGUGUGUAGGUGAAGUCCCUGCGGAUGGAGCUGAGACCAGUCGAAGAUACCAGCUGGCUGCAACUGUUUAUUAAAAACACAGCACUGUGCAAACACGAAAGUGGACGUAUACGGUGUGACGCCUGCCCGGUGCCGGAAGGUUAAUUGAUGGGGUUAUCCGUAAGGAGAAGCUCUUGAUCGAAGCCCCGGUAAACGGCGGCCGUAACUAUAACGGUCCUAAGGUAGCGAAAUUCCUUGUCGGGUAAGUUCCGACCUGCACGAAUGGCGUAAUGAUGGCCAGGCUGUCUCCACCCGAGACUCAGUGAAAUUGAACUCGCUGUGAAGAUGCAGUGUACCCGCGGCAAGACGGAAAGACCCCGUGAACCUUUACUAUAGCUUGACACUGAACAUUGAGCCUUGAUGUGUAGGAUAGGUGGGAGGCUUUGAAGCGUGGACGCCAGUCUGCGUGGAGCCAACCUUGAAAUACCACCCUUUAAUGUUUGAUGUUCUAACGUUGGCCCCUGACCGGGGUUGCGGACAGUGUCUGGUGGGUAGUUUGACUGGGGCGGUCUCCUCCCAAAGCGUAACGGAGGAGCACGAAGGUUAGCUAAUCCUGGUCGGACAUCAGGAGGUUAGUGCAAUGGCAUAAGCUAGCUUGACUGCGAGCGUGACGGCGCGAGCAGGUGCGAAAGCAGGUCAUAGUGAUCCGGUGGUUCUGAAUGGAAGGGCCAUCGCUCAACGGAUAAAAGGUACUCCGGGGAUAACAGGCUGAUACCGCCCAAGAGUUCAUAUCGACGGCGGUGUUUGGCACCUCGAUGUCGGCUCAUCACAUCCUGGGGCUGAAGUAGGUCCCAAGGGUAUGGCUGUUCGCCAUUUAAAGUGGUACGCGAGCUGGGUUUAGAACGUCGUGAGACAGUUCGGUCCCUAUCUGCCGUGGGCGCUGGAGAAUUGAGGGGGGCUGCUCCUAGUACGAGAGGACCGGAGUGGACGCAUCACUGGUGUUCGGGUUGUCAUGCCAAUGGCACUGCCCGGUAGCUAAAUGCGGAAGAGAUAAGUGCUGAAAGCAUCUAAGCACGAAACUUGCCCCGAGAUGAGUUCUCCCUGAGACUUUAAGUCUCCUGAAGGAACGUUGAAGACGACGACGUUGAUAGGCCGGGUGUGUAAGCGCAGCGAUGCGUUGAGCUAACCGGUACUAAUGAACCGUGAGGCUUAACCUUACAACGCCGAAG
rnacentral:rRNA from 1 species